rnacentral:rRNA from 1 species
AACGAACGCUGGCGGCAGGCCUAACACAUGCAAGUCGAGCGAGACCUUCGGGUCUAGCGGCGGACGGGUGAGUAACGCGUGGGAACGUGCCCUUUUCUACGGAAUAGCCUCGGGAAACUGAGCGUAAUACCGUAUACGCCCUUUGGGGGAAAGAUUUAUCGGAGAAGGAUCGGCCCGCGUUGGAUUAGGUAGUUGGUGGGGUAAUGGCCUACCAAGCCUACGAUCCAUAGCUGGUUUGAGAGGAUGAUCAGCCACACUGGGACUGAGACACGGCCCAGACUCCUACGGGAUGCAGCAGUGGGGAAUCUUAGACAAUGGGGGCAACCCUGAUCGAGCCAUGCCGCGUGAGUGAUGAAGGCCUUAGGGUUGUAAAGCUCUUUCAGCUGGGAAGAUAAUGACGGUACCGGAAGAAGAAGCCCCGGCUAACUCCGUG